CAAAACUCCCCCCCCCCCCCCCUUUUCCCAAAAAGCAACUUCAUUUCUUCUGCACACAAAAAUAAAUGUCUUCUUUGAAAGUGCCACCUCAUCAGAUUUUGGUAGUCUCUACUGAAAGUGUCUCUCCACAUAAGCAAUAGUACCUCCAGCAAGCAUACCUGGUAGAAUAGCAGUACUUGAGUUAUACAAUUAAAUUACUGUCUGUUAGAGUAACAGUAUAUAACAAGUUAUUAAAUAGGUUUUUAGGAAGUCUUGUGUAGUUGUGGCUCAAGCUAUGUAGAAUGUCUGUCAUUGAUAGUGUGGUCCUAGUAUUGGAUAAACAACUUUUUUUUUUUAGCAGGAUAAUUUAUUGAUAUAGUUAAUAUACAAAUGAUUGUAAAGGUCAUGAUAUAUCAGUGUACAACCUAAUGUGUAUACUUGAGAGACUAUUGUGCAGUAACAUUUUGUCCUAUUGGACACUGGGACUAAGGAGUGUCAAGUCUCUAGUGUUCAUUGGUGGGAAUACGUUUGUAUGCACAUCCUUUCAUGUUAUCAAUUGAUGAUUUUUGUACAGGGAUAUUUUAUUUGAGCGAAUAUUAUGAAAGAUGUUUCUUGAUAGUCUGAUCUAUUGGAUUGCUAGUAGUGAUGGAUGAUUGUUUAUGUUUACAUGUUUGGUUGAAGUCCUGUAUUCAAUGAAACGUUCACAAUACAUCAAGAAAGUUUAUGUUUUAACAUUUCUACCUUGCACAAUAGAAAUGGCAGAUUGCAAAAAUAAAGGUGAGAAAAGUAGAACCCAAUGUCUGCAAGCUUCUCAGAUGGUCUGUUGAUUUAGUGAGGGUUAGAUGAUGUUGCAUAUAAAGGUAGAUAUCCAGAGCAUAGUGUACUUGUCAAAUGUCCACUGAGGCUAGUGAGUCCUUCAUCUUGCCACAGUUAGGACAAGGGAGACUAUUUUCAAAAAAGUUCAUUCAACUUUCAUUUUUUCGUUUCAAUCAAAUUAACCCUCGAGCCUGUUGUACAUAGAUAUACACAUAUAUUCUAAACUAUUUUGUAUUGUUGUAGUGUAAUGUACGCAACUGUCCAGCCAGGUGCACACCCACAUCAUUAGGUACAUGGAAUAAAGCAUGUAUUUAUUUCAAUGUAGGAUCAUCUUGUAUUGGCAAUAUUGUGAAUAUUAUUUUGUGUUGAAUGGACAUUCCCAUUAUUUAAUUCAACCUGUGAAUCAAUCACAUGUCCGAUUGAAUUUAUCACUGUCAUCACAGGUAUCAUUGUGAAUACAUUUCCACCAUUAUAC